rnacentral:sRNA from 1 species
AUGCUCCCUCCUUACACCCAGUUCCUCAGUUGCUCAUUACCUGUCAACUUUCAUCCCAUCCUAGUGUUAGUACUUUAUUUUCUCGAUCAAUCACCCAGACUUAGAGGACAGCCACCAAUAUCCAUUGCUCGUACAUCCGUUUUGCAGGUAGUACUUUAUUUUGUUACCCUCCCCCCUUUUUUUUUUUUUCCAAGUAUCCUUGGGUAAUCAGAGUCCAAUGGCUCAGCUGGACGAGGGGUUGGACUGCUGAAGAAAGAUAAUUUUGCCCAUUGCUAGUCGCGUCUGCGAUACCAUUUGGUGGGUAAAACGUGCCAGGCUAGGAGACAAAAGAAAGCGAGUUUCAAAAGUGUCAAGGUGACAAGUGCGUGUGGAAACCAGUGUAAAACCCCUUCUUUCGUGAUCCCGUUAAAAAAAGAAAAGGCAAAAAGAAAGAAAAAACCGCCCAAAACCCCAGCGCCAGACAGAAAUAUAUACAAAAAAUAUACGCUGACAGGGUAUCCCGCUAAACUCCAAAAUGAUCUAGGGUAUUAUGAUGUUGCUGCUCUCCCAGUCUCCCAGCAAAGCAGGCAGCCUGCGCCGGGAAUCAUACCCUCGCCUUCAUUCAACAACAGACCUGCUGUGACUCUAAGACUCCAAGAAACAAGACGCAUUCUCCCAUUAAUCAUGGUUUUAUAUAUAUAUAUAUAUAUAUAUAUCAAUCUUCAAAUCCGCGACAAGGUCCUUCGGCGACGGAUAAGAAUCGCACUCCAGCCUCUCUUCCAUGGUCGACAGGUCCAUCGGCGAUACAAUGACAUUGUAGUAGUCAGGGACCUCGUCUCUGUUGACCGGGUUGAGGAAGGGCCAGGCCUGUUUGUGGUUCUGGAUCUGGUUCAGGAAACGCCGGAGCUCGUUGAAGUGGCGCCCGUGGCGGGGCUCCCGCGCUAGCUUGUCCAUGUCUGGAGACCAGCCAGUGGCCCGAAUGGCAGGGAUCGAGAGUGGAUCUAUCGGUGCGACGACUGCGCUGGCCCAUUGCUGGGGUGGCCGAUGGACGAUGUGGCUUUCGCUGAAGGUGCGCAUUUUGGCCAGCACUGCCUCCUUCUGCUUCAGAAGCAUGCGCCCAACUUCCAGAUACCGUAUUCGGGGGAGCAUGGAGCACUGCAUGAGUGUCCCCCCUUCGUAAUCCUUGAUAUACCCCAUCCAGACGGACUUGUCGAGGGUGAUCUCUUUGGUAAAUCCUUGCUUUUGGAAAUAGCCGGUGGCAUAGUUAUCGGCGUAUGUUAGAAAAUGCAUCACGGGGGAAGUAGCUCUAACAUAGUCCUUCAGAUGGAACAUGAGAUGCGCGCCGUAUCCUUUCACCUGCUGGUGGGACGAGACCGCGCAAAAGACGAUUUCGGCAAACUUGCGGUCUCGGAAUUCUCGGAAUGUGAUCCCGCCGAUGACCUCCAGCGGCAUUUUGACGAUAGCCAUAGACAGGUGAGCGCGAUCGUAGACGAGACGCGCGACAUAGUCCUUGGGCAUUUUCGGCAGCUGCUUUUGAAACAGGCACUUGAGGCCUGUAAGGAUAAUGGUACUCUCUCUGGAGCCAUCAUUGUUGACCACUCGGAAUUGGAUCUCUCCAUUCCGCUCUUCCAAAACUGCCGGCUUUAAAGAGACACGGUUAGAUGAUUUGGCAGUUUUCCCGGCAAUGUAUUCGAAAAUCCUUAACACACCUUCUCUGGAAAGGGGACGAUAGUCAGAGCGGGAGUUUUCGCAUCCGGCUCUAUCAACCCAUCAUGAAAGCGUUUGAUUCUUUUGGCCUCAGGGCCGAAACUGGGUUCUUCGACAGCGGCGCGCUUCGCGUCGAGAUUCUGCGUGCUGGAGGUGCUAGAGGCUGGAAUUGAUUGUGACACUGCUUUGUCCAUCUACGCUUGGGUGCCACGACUGGACUUUCAUGAGGUAAUAUGCAAACUAGAAUUUAUGCUAGGUUUAAGUUAAACCUCGGGAUGUUGAAAUAGUUAAAGACGUCCAUUCCAAGGUUGGUUUGGGUUCAUCAGGUGACUCCUGAUCUGGGAAAUGCUAGGCCUAAAUAGACAUAGUUAGUUGGCUUGGCGUGCUUCCCUCCCUGCAGCCGCUAAUCUUCCAUCU